rnacentral:rRNA from 1 species
UACGGGGGGGGCAAGCGUUGUUCGGAAUUACUGGGCGUAAAGGGUGCGUAGGCGGUUCGCUAAGUUGGAUGUGAAAACUAUGGGCUCAACCCAUAGCCUGCAUCCAAUACUGACGAACUAGAGUUCUGGAGGGGGUAGCGGAAUUCCUGGUGUAGCGGUGAAAUGCGUAGAUAUCAGGAGGAACACCGGUGGCGAAGGCGGCAUUCUGGACCGACAUUGACGCUGAGGAGCGAAAGCCAGGGGAGCAAACGGG